rnacentral:rRNA from 1 species
AGACCCGAAACCCGGUGAUCUAGCCAUGGGCAGGUUGAAGGUUGGGUAACACUAACUGGAGGACCGAACCGACUAAUGUUGAAAAAUUAGCGGAUGACCUGUGGCUGGGGGUGAAAGGCCAAUCAAACCGGGAGAUAGCUGGUUCUCCCCGAAAGCUAUUUAGGUAGCGCCUCGUGAAUUCAUCUCCGGGGGUAGAGCACUGUUUCGGCUAGGGGGCCAUCCCGGCUUACCAACCCGAUGCAAACUGCGAAUACCGGAGAAUGUUAUCACGGGAGACACACGGCGGGUGCUAACGUCCGUCGUGAAGAGGGAAACAACCCAGACCGCCAGCUAAGGUCCCAAAGUCAUGGUUAAGUGGGAAACGAUGUGGGAAGGCCCAGACAGCCAGGAUGUUGGCUUAGAAGCAGCCAUCAUUUAAAGAAAGCGUAAUAGCUCACUGGUCGAGUCGGCCUGCGCGGAAGAUGUAACGGGGCUAAACCAUGCACCGAAGCUGCGGCAGCGAACGUAUCACCCAAGACAACUUUACGGAGUUGACGAUUGACGGAGCGAAGCGACGUCAAAGCGUUCAUUAAAGUCGAGUUGGCUUAGGGGUACGUUCGUUGGGUAGGGGAGCGUUCUGUAAGCCUGUGAAGGUGUGUCGUGAGGCAUGCUGGAGGUAU